GGAAGACAUCACUGCAGAGAGCACGCUAACUCCGUGCCAGCAGCGCGUAAUACGGAGGUGCAAGCGUAAUCGGAAUUACUGGCGUAAAGCGCGCGUAGGUGGCUGAUAAGCCGGUUGUGAAAGCCUGGGCUCAACCUAGGAACGGCAUCCGGAACUGUUAAGCUAGAGUGCAGGAGAGGAAGGUAGAAUUCCCGGUGUAGCGGUGAAAUGCGUAGAGAUCGGGAGGAAUACCAGUGGCGAAGGCGGCCUUCUGGACUGACACUGACACUGAGGUGCGAAAGCGUGGGUAGCAAACAGGAUUAGAUACCCUGGUAGUCCACGCCGUAAACGAUGUCGACCAGCCGUUGGGUGCCUUGAGCACUUUGUGGCGAAGUUAACGCGAUAAGUCGACCGCCUGGGGAGUACGGCCGCAAGGUUAAAACUCAAAUGAAUUGACGGGGGCCCGCACAAGCGGUGGAGCAUGUGGUUUAAUUCGAUGCAACGCGAAGAACCUUACCUACCCUUGACAUCGACAGAAGCCGGAAGAGAUUCUGGUGUGCCUUCGGGAACUGUCAGACAGGUGCUGCAUGGCUGUCGUCAGCUCGUGUUGUGAAAUGUUGGGUUAAGUCCCGUAACGAGCGCAACCCUUGUCCUUAUUUGCCAGCGGGUAAUGCCGGGAACUCUAAGGAGACUGCCGGUGACAAACCGGAGGAAGGUGGGGACGACGUCAAGUCAUCAUGGCCCAUACGGGUAGGGCUACACACGUGCUACAAUGGCCGGUACAAAGGGCAGCGAGCUCGCGAGAGUCAGCGAAUCCCUUAAAGCCGGUCUCAGUCCGGAUCGGAGUCUGCAACUCGACUCCGUGAAGUCGGAAUCGCUAGUAAUCGUGAAUCAGAAUGUCACGGUGAAUACGUUCCCGGGCCUUGUACACACCGCCCGUCACACCAUGGGAGUGGACUGCACCAGAAGUGGGUAGCCUAACGCAAGAGGGCGAUCACCACGGUGU
rnacentral:rRNA from 1 species